rnacentral:sRNA from 1 species
CACCGUCAGCACAUGAGCCGCAU